rnacentral:misc_RNA from 1 species
UGCUCAUUCCGAAUUCUGGAAGAACCCAAAAAGGGCAAUCAAGAAAGCAUACAAGGUGACUGACAACGAGAUUCUGGAUAAUAUAGUUGGUUCUCCAGGAGGCUCAAUGGCAGUCACUGCAAUUCUGAUCGACCAAAGAAGGCUAAUUGUGGCCAAUGUUGGCGAUUCCCAGGCAGUCUUGUGUAGAAACGGUGUAGCAAAGCCACUAUCAGUAGAUCAUGAACCCGAGAAGGCGAGAGAACUUGUUGAG